CACUUCCUGUUACCCUUCCUACUUAGUCUGUUAGCCCCAUACGAGACCUGAUUACCUUGUAUCUAGCCCAGUGCUUGGGCAGUAGGCAAAUCAAAAUCUAGCAAUUACACUAUGGAAAGAAAAGACAUGGAUUUAUCAAGAAGACAACAGCAGUGAACCAUGGCUAGUGCUCAAAAAUGCAUUUCUCAAAACCCUCAAGGAAAACCAGACUUCUAGGUUAAGAGUCUCUGCAGACUCUUCCAGAAGAUUACAACUGAGAAUCACCCAUUCUCCAAAACGAGAUGAAGCAUCUGCCAAAGGAUCUCAAGGUCCCUUAUCCUGCAAGUGCACCGACCUCUCUUCACCACAAAUGCAUACCACAUCAGAUCCUUUAACAAGGACAGCUUUCAACUCCAGAUAACCUCGUGAGAAAUCUAAGAGGCACCCCCCGGAAUGCAAAGGCACCACCCCAUCCUCUCCAUUCUCCGAAAACAAGCAAGCAUGAUCACACACAAAGGAGCUUUGAAAAUGACAUCUUAGGUCAAAACAUUCUACUUUGACAAUACAAAAUAAACCACACAAACUCAUCAACAGAA